UGGUGGAGUGAUUUGUCUGGUUAAUUCCGUUAACGAACGAGACCUCAGCCUGCUAAAUAGUCGAGUGAAUACUUUACUGGAUUCAUCUUUCGGCUUCUUAGAGGGACUGUCUGUAUCUAGCAGAAGGAAGUGUGAGGCAAUAACA
rnacentral:rRNA from 1 species